CUUAUUAAAAGAAAAAGGGGUGAAAAGAACAAAGUUUUGUCCAUCUUUGUUCAUCAUAGCUGAAAGUUAGAGAAGAGAAAGGAGAGGAGAAAGUUCUUGAGUGUUCGGUCACUUGGGGAAGAAAAUUGAAGGAAAUCCCCAACCAUAGUGGGCUUGGAGCUGUGAGGGAAUUCGGAGUGGCCACCCGUUCUGAAAGUUUGAUUUUCUUCUGGUGAACUGGACAUCCUUUUAAUUACGUUUGAGGUUUUGGGCUUUUAAAUGUAAUAAGGCCGCUUAUUUAUUUUUGAUGGUUUUUAUAUGUUUUAUUAAGAUAGGUAAUAUUUAUAUUUAA